GAGGUUAAGCGACUAAGCGUACACGGUGGAUGCCCUGGCAGUCAGAGGCGAUGAAGGACGUGCUAAUCUGCGAUAAGCGUCGGUGAGGUGAUAUGAACCGUUAUAACCGGCGAUUUCCGAAUGGGGAAACCCAGUGUGUUUCGACACACUAUCAUUAACUGAAUCCAUAGGUUAAUGAGGCGAACCGGGGGAACUGAAACAUCUAAGUACCCCGAGGAAAAGAAAUCAACCGAGAUUCCCCCAGUAGCGGCGAGCGAACGGGGAGGAGCCCAGAGCCUGAAUCAGUGUGUGUGUUAGUGGAAGCGUCUGGAAAGGCGCGCGAUACAGGGUGACAGCCCCGUACACAAAAAUGCACAUAUUGUGAGCUCGAUGAGUAGGGCGGGACACGUGGUAUCCUGUCUGAAUAUGGGGGGACCAUCCUCCAAGGCUAAAUACUCCUGACUGACCGAUAGUGAACCAGUACCGUGAGGGAAAGGCGAAAAGAACCCCGGCGAGGGGAGUGAAAAAGAACCUGAAACCGUGUACGUACAAGCAGUGGGAGCCUCUUAAUGGGGUGACUGCGUACCUUUUGUAUAAUGGGUCAGCGACUUAUAUUCUGUAGCAAGGUUAACCGAAUAGGGGAGCCGAAGGGAAACCGAGUCUUAACUGGGCGUUAAGUUGCAGGGUAUAGACCCGAAACCCGGUGAUCUAGCCAUGGGCAGGUUGAAGGUUGGGUAACACUAACUGGAGGACCGAACCGACUAAUGUUGAAAAAUUAGCGGAUGACUUGUGGCUGGGGGUGAAAGGCCAAUCAAACCGGGAGAUAGCUGGUUCUCCCCGAAAGCUAUUUAGGUAGCGCCUCGUGAAUUCAUCUCCGGGGGUAGAGCACUGUUUCGGCAAGGGGGUCAUCCCGACUUACCAACCCGAUGCAAACUGCGAAUACCGGAGAAUGUUAUCACGGGAGACACACGGCGGGUGCUAACGUCCGUCGUGAAGAGGGAAACAACCCAGACCGCCAGCUAAGGUCCCAAAGUCAUGGUUAAGUGGGAAACGAUGUGGGAAGGCCCAGACAGCCAGGAUGUUGGCUUAGAAGCAGCCAUCAUUUAAAGAAAGCGUAAUAGCUCACUGGUCGAGUCGGCCUGCGCGGAAGAUGUAACGGGGCUAAACCAUGCACCGAAGCUGCGGCAGCGACACUAUGUGUUGUUGGGUAGGGGAGCG
rnacentral:rRNA from 1 species